rnacentral:rRNA from 1 species
UAUCGNCCUUGGCUCUUCUUAGGACGGAACUAUCGGCUCANAGCCGAUGGAAGAUUUGAGGGCNAUAAUCAGGUCUAGUGAUGCCCUGUAGAUCGUUUCUGGGCACGCACGCAGUCGUCUACACUGACGGAGCCACGCGAGUACUUCCUUCGUCCGAAAGGUCCGGGUAAGUCUUGUUANACCUCCCUGUCGUGACUGGCGGAUUACGAGCAUNUGUCAAUUUACUUGNCUCCUUCACAUCGAGGGAAUUCCUCUAGUAAGCGCGCGAGCUACUUCCAGCAUUGCGUUGAGUUACCGUCCCUGCCCCUNUUAGUACAACACCGCCCGUCGACUACUACCGAUUGAAUGGCUCACGUGAGGCGUCCGGUACUGNGCCCAGAGAGGUGGGCAACUACCACUCAGGCCCCGGAAAGCUCUCCAAACUGGUCAUUUAGAGGA